rnacentral:rRNA from 1 species
UUUCUGCGGCGUGCCUAAUACAUGCAGUCGAGCGAAUCGAUGGGAGCUUGCUCCCUGAGAUUAGCGGCGGACGGGUGAGUAACACGUGGGCAACCUGCCUAUAAGACUGGGAUAACUUCGGGAAACCGGAGCUAAUACCGGAUACGUUCUUUUCUCGCAUGAGAGAAGAUGGAAAGACGGUUUACGCUGUCACUUAUAGAUGGGCCCGCGGCGCAUUAGCUAGUUGGUGAGGUAAUGGCUCACCAAGGCGACGAUGCGUAGCCGACCUGAGAGGGUGAUCGGCCACACUGGGACUGAGACACGGCCCAGACUCCUACGGGAGGCAGCAGUAGGGAAUCUUCCGCAAUGGACGAAAGUCUGACGGAGCAACGCCGCGUGAACGAAGAAGGCCUUCGGGUCGUAAAGUUCUGUUGUUAGGGAAGAACAAGUACCAGAGUAACUGCUGGUACCUUGACGGUACCUAACCAGAAAGCCACGGCUAACUACGUGCCAGCAGCCGCGGUAAUACGUAGGUGGCAAGCGUUGUCCGGAAUUAUUGGGCGUAAAGCGCGCGCAGGUGGUUCCUUAAGUCUGAUGUGAAAGCCCACGGCUCACCCGUGGAGGGUCAUUGCAAACUGGGGAACUUGAGUGCAGAAGAGGAAAGUGGAAUUCCAAGUGUAGCGGUGAAAUGCGUAGAGAUUUGGAGGAACACCAGUGGCGAAGGCGACUUUCUGGUCUGUAACUGACACUGAGGCGCGAAAGCGUGGGGAGCAAACAGGAUUAGAUACCCUGUAGUCCACGCCGUAAACGAUGAGUGCUAAGU